GCUUGCAGAUUUGACUGGAGAGCUAAUGAGGAUGGCGAUUGGUAGAAUAUCAGAUAGUGAAGUCGAGUUCGCGCAGAGGAUUUUUCAGUUUGUCAGACAGAUUCACAGGGAACUGUUGCUGGUCGUGCCUUAGAUGGAUGAUAGUUAUGACAUGAAGUCAAAGAUGGAAGUGAUGCUUCAAAGUGUGAUCAAAAUUGAGAAUGCUUGCUUUAGCGCUCAUGUGCGUGGAUCAGAGUAUAUUCCGCUGCUUGGAGAUGAUGCACCAACGUCCUUCUUAUUGGGAGGUGCUGAUGUUGAAUGAUUAAGAAGUGAGCUCUUUUAUCGUGAGAACUAGGAUCACUUAGUAUGGAUGCUGCUGAGGAACUUUCAAAGCAGAGGACUCUGAGAUCUCUUUGUUGCAAGACGUUUUGAGUAUGAAUGGCAAAACAAAAUGUAGAAGUUUUUUUCUUUUGUCACAAUAUUUUCUUUAUCGCCAGCCAGUAGCUUACAUUUGGAACUAAAGUCAAUGGAGUCUGACGAUUGCAUGAGAAAACAAUCAGGGCGUCGUCGCAAGUGUCAACUGUGGAUCCGACGUGGGAUGGUUCAAGAGACUGAGAACUCAAGUGGUGCUAUUGGAGCUAUGCUUUCUGCUGAUGCUGCUACGGAUUGUGGUUUAAGGAGGAGAAUGUACUAGGAAACAAGUCCAGAAGAGAUGAAUGUGCACAUGAGCAUAAGAACGGUUCCUUCAUUCUUAGGAGAAACUGAUGAAAACAUAUUUGAAGAAAUCUGCAAGGUUCUACAAAAGCAAGAUUGCGUCAAGGCAUAGUUAGUGGUAUCUUUUUCGUAGUUUCUUUCUUCGUUCUCUUCGCUUCUUAUGCAACCAUUUUGUAUGUAGGUUUUAAUAUCCCAUCAAACAAUGACUUAAAUUCUGCUCUUUUGUUUUUUCUGUUCAAACGUUAUCUUUGGCUGGAGAGAGCGGAACCGGGAAACCAACAGUAAUUGAGCUGCUGCCGAAGUUUUACAAUCCUGAUGAGGUCAUCACUUUUGAUGGAUUUGAGAUUAAUACCUUCAGAUGGAAUGGCCACCGCAGCAACCAGGUAUGGUGAGCCAAGAACCAUAUCUGUACAGUGAAACUAUCAGAGAAAACAUUGCUUGCAGAAAAAAGAGGAGAUGCUUCUUAAACCAAUGUCGUAUAUGCAACUGAUAUACCUAAUGGUCAUGGCAUCGUUAAUGGAUAACAACAUGGCUAUGAUACAACGAUGCUUAGACAGACCGUGUGGUUCAAUAUACAGUGGACAGGAUCAUGGUUUACACAUCGGUUAUCAACAAUCAAGAACUCAUGUAUCAACGUAGAGAAAAGAAAGAAAGAGAUUUUGAUUGAUAUAAAAAAAA